UACGUAGGGGGCGAGCGUUGUCCGGAUUUAUUGGGCGUAAAGAGCUCGUAGGCGGUUCGGUAAGUCGGAUGUGAAAUCUCCACGCUCAACGUGGAGGGGCCAUUCGAUACUGCCGUGACUCGAGUCCGGUAGGGGAGUGUGGAAUUCCCGGUGUAGCGGUGAAAUGCGUAGAGAUGGGGGAGAACACUCGUGGCGAAGGCGGCCAGCUAGACCAGUUCUGACACUGAGGCGCGACAGCGUGGGGAGCAAACAGG
rnacentral:rRNA from 1 species